AUGGCAAUGGCAACGGCGCCGCGGCGGAGGGCGAGCAUGGGGCGGCAGAAGAUCGAGAUCCGGAAGAUCGAGAGCGAGGAGGCGCGGCAGGUGUGCUUCUCCAAGCGCCGGGCCGGCCUGUUCAAGAAGGCGAGCGAGCUGGCCGUGCUGUGCGGCGCCGAGGUUGCCGCCGUCGUCUUCUCCCCCGCAGGCAAGGCCUUCUCCUUCGGCCACCCCUCCGUCGAGGCCAUCUUUGACCGCUUCGUCCCCUCCGCCGCGCAGCAUCCCGGGGCGGUGGCUGCCGGCGCGGGCCUGGGCGCCUCGGGCGACCGCAACCUGGCGGAGCUGAACCGGCAGUACGGCGAGCUGCGCACGCAGCUGGAGGCGGAGAAGGCGCGGAAGGAGCGCGCGGAGGAGGCCAUGGCGAAGGAGCGCGCCGCGGGCAACCAGAUGGCGGCGUGGCUCGACGCCGACCUGCGCGACAUGGGGGAGGAGGAGCUGAUGGCCUUCGCCGCCGCGCUGGUGGAGGUGCAGGCCGCCGUCUCGGAGCGCGCCAACCAGGUGCUCCAGGAGGCGCUAAACGUCGGCCGCUCCAGGAGCGCCAGCCGCAUGCUCCAGGCGCCCCCACCGCACCAGCAGCAGCAGCAGCUCGCCGGGGGCGGUACCUUCGAGUUCGGUGGCACCAGCACCAACGCCGGUAUGGAGAUACAGCAAAUGCUGCUGGCGAUGCCUCCGCCGCCCCCGCCGGGGUUCGCCCCAGGAAUGGACAUAGUGCAACACGGCGGAUUCCCCUAUUGA
rnacentral:rRNA from 1 species